UGCUUACAUGUAUGUUGUAAAAAAUGUCAACAAUAAAAAGUGAUAGCACAAGCCAUAUGAACAAUGAAGAGAAUAUUAGUAGAAUGAACUUUGAACAAUUUCAUUCACUAAAUAUGGGAAACGAUAAAAAUAGUUUUUUAAAAUACAAUGGAAAAGUAGGUAAUUCCAUGAGUAUUAAAUCAAGCAAUAGUAAUAUAUUUUCUUCCACCUUCAGUAAUACUAAAGUAAAUACUGAAGAAAACAGAACUAAAAUAAUAUAUAAACCGAAUAUUGAAGUAGUUAAAAAUAUUAAGGAAGUACCAAUUUAUAAUUAUCAAAAUAAAACUAAAAUUAUAGAAGUUCCAGAAGUGAAAUUUGUGGAUAAGUAUGAAUAUGAUACUCCUGAGAUUAUUGAAAAGUACAAAUAUGUACCAAAAGAAGUUAUUAAAUAUAAUAUUAUACAGAAACCAGUAAUAACAAAUAUACCAACAGAGAAAAAAAUAGGAGUUGUUCACACCCAGGAAAAAAUAAGUUAUAAUAGCCAAAAUAUUAUACAAGAUGGAAAUAAUUAUAUGAAUAAUGAUAAAAAUGGUAAUAAUGUACUUUAUAAAGAGCCUAACUGUAUUACACAGUGUUGUUUCCCAUCACAAAACGAGGAUAUGAAUGAACAUAUUAAUUAUUCUUUACAUGAAUAUACAAACAGUAAUAAUUACAAUGAACAUGUACAUAAUUUAAAUGACAAUAAUGACUAUGAUAAUAAUUACAAAGUGCAUGAUAAUAAUGACAACUUGUAUGAUAAUAAUUACAAAAUGUAUGAUAAUUAUGACAACGUGUAUGAUAAUAAUGACAAUGUGCAUAAUAAUAAUGAUGAUAACAUUUAUGGUAAUAAUGACAAUGUGCAUAAUAAUAAUGAUGAUAACAUUUAUGGUAAUAAUAGAAACUUUUAUGAGAUGAAUGGUAAUGUUUAUGAUAUAACUGGUAAUUCGUUACCAAAACUCAUGGAACCAUUUGGUCCACAAAUAGAAAUAGAAAAAAAUAAAAUGAUAGAAAAUGUGUUUGUGCCAAAAGUGGAAAAAGUUGUUGAAGUAGAAAAAAAAGUUAAUAUACCAAUAAAUUUACCAGUUCCAUACAUAGUCCCUAAACCUAAAAUAAUUAAUGUAGAUGUGCCUGUUUUUAAGUUUAAUGAUAAAUAUGUUCCUGUACCUGUUAAUAGAAAAAUCAUACCAAAAGUAAAAUGGAGUGAUAAAGUUUAUAAAGUAGA
rnacentral:lncRNA from 1 species